GACGAACGCUGGCGGCGUGCUUAACACAUGCAAGUCGAACGCUGAAGCUUGGUGCUUGCACUGGGUGGAUGAGUGGCGAGCGGGUGAGUAAUACGUGAGUAACCUGCCCUUGACUCUGGGAUAAGCCUGGGAAACUGGGUCUAAUACUGGAUACGACAUGUCACCGCAUGGUGGUGUGUGGAAAGGGUUUUACUGGUUUUGGAUGGGCUCACGGCCUAUCAGCUUGUUGGUGGGGUAAUGGCUCACCAAGGCGACGACGGGUAGCCGGCCUGAGAGGGUGACCGGCCACACUGGGACUGAGACACGGCCCAGACUCCUACGGGAGGCAGCAGUGGGGAAUAUUGCACAAUGGGCGAAAGCCUGAUGCAGCGACGCCGCGUGAGGGAUGACGGCCUUCGGGUUGUAAACCUCUUUCAGCACGGAAGAAGCGAAAGUGACGGUACGUGCAGAAGAAGCGCCGGCUAACUACGUG
rnacentral:rRNA from 1 species